rnacentral:rRNA from 1 species
UCUUGACAUCCAGAGAACUUGGCAGAGAUGCCUCGGUGCCUUCGGGAACUCUGAGACAGGUGCUGCAUGGCUGUCGUCAGCUCGUGUUGUGAAAUGUUGGGUUAAGUCCCGCAACGAGCCGCAACCCCCUAUCCUUUGUUGCCAGCGAUUCGGUCGGGAACUCAAAGGAGACUGCCGGUGAUAAACCGGAGGAAGGUGGGGAUGACGUCAAGUCAUCAUGGCCCUUACGAGUAGGGCUACACACGUGCUACAAUGGCGUAUACAAAGAGAAGCGACCUCGCGAGAGCAAGCGGACCUCAUAAAGUACGUCGUAGUCCGGAUUGGAGUCUGCAACUCGACUCCAUGAAGUCGGAAUCGCUAGUAAUCGUAGAUCAGAAUGCUACGGUGAAUACGUUCCCGGGCCUUGUACACACCGCCCGUCACACCAUGGGAGUGGGUUGCAAAAGAAGUAGAUAGCUUAACCUUCGGGAGGGCGUUUACCACUUUGUGAUUCAUGACUGGGGUGAAGUCGUAACAAGGUAAGCGUACGUGU